UCGCUACUACUGAUUGGACGAUUAAGCAAGAACUUCGGAAUCUCUUUGUCGCGACUUCGGUUGAUGACAAGGAAGGGAAGAGGAUCAAGCUUAUUCAUCUAGAGGAAGUAA
rnacentral:rRNA from 1 species